rnacentral:lncRNA from 1 species
AUUUAGUCCAUUCCGAAGUUGUAGUUUGUUUUGACAUUUCCGUUUUAUUUAACCUAACCUAUGUUUUGUGUUUUAUUGUGUUGUAUACAAGGAGUUGUAUAUUGAAAUUGAAUUGAUUCUUGUUUCAUUGAAUAUAGAGGAGUUGUUCUGUUGCAAGUUGUUCUAGUUUUGUUGUUUUAAAAUCUGCGAAAAACUAUUUAUAGAUAAUGGUGAACUUAAACAAGAAAUGGACAUGCAGUUUGCUGAUUACUUAAUUGUGUACUCACAACACAUAGGUACAGGCAUUAUGCAAAUACAUACCAUUUAGAGGAUACUUCAUUCAAAUUGGAGGACUCUGCGAUAUUGGGCUUCCUUAAUAGUUUACCAGACGUAGACACUGUCUUUUUCUUGGUAGAAAAUGACACCUGUUUCACCCUUUCUGAAUUUUCUCAAGUCUCAUAUUUGGAUCAACGUGAAAUUUGUUGGCUUUCACAGCUUUAAUUUGAUUAACGGCUGUCAUUAAAAUAUCUUCACUGUUGCAUUUUUGACCUAAUGCAAUUACUUACAGUGCUGAGCAGAUAGUAUCUCAUGUAAUUUCUAUCUAUCCCUCGGUUUUUGAUGUGUGCGUAGGUGCUGAAGACUCCAGUUCUUCCCAAAUAUCACUGCUUGGAACUUAAUUAUUUAGUGUGACUCAUGUAAUACAAAGGAUUUCUCUGACACAGUUUCCAGUACAGAACUGCCACAGGAAUCUCCAGUGGAGUUGCAACCGCUCUCACGGACAUCCACAAAUCAAGUUACAAAACUGUUACAUGACUCUAUUGGAGUUGCAACCGCAAUUGGAUAAAAGUGAAAUUCGAAUAAUGCCAGAAAGACUAUAACCGUCCAAAGUGAUAGUGUGAAAUUAAAAUCAAAUGAUUACGUAUAAAUCAUAUUUAUAAUAAUUAUAAAUAGUAGCUGUAUUUUUUAAAUAAACAGAUUUGAUAAGUUA